AGCGAACGCUGGCGGCAGGCCUAACACAUGCAAGUCGAACGAACCUUUCGGGGUUAGUGGCGGACGGGUGAGUAACACGUGGGAACGUGCCUUUAGGUUCGGAAUAACUCAGGGAAACUUGUGCUAAUACCGAAUGUGCCCUUCGGGGGAAAGAUUAAUCGCCUUUAGAGCGGCCCGCGUCUGAUUAGCUAGUUGGUUGAGGUAAUGGCUCACCAAGGCGACGAUCAGUAGCUGGUCUGAGAGGAUGAUAAGCCACAUUGGGACUGAGACACGGCCCAAACUCCUACGGGAAGCAGCAGUGGGGAAUCUUGCGCAAUGGGCGAAAGCCUGACGCAGCCAUGCCGCGUGAAUGAUGAAGGUCUUAGGAUUGUAAAAUUCUUUCACCGGGGACGAUAAUGACGGUACCCGGAGAAGAAGCCCCGGCUAACUUCGUG
rnacentral:rRNA from 1 species